UACGAAGGGGGCUAGCGUUGCUCGGAAUCACUGGGCGUAAAGCGCACGUAGGCGGACUCUUAAGUCGGUGGUGAAAUCCUGGAGCUCAACUCCAGAACUGCCUUCGAUACUGAGAGUCUCGAGUCCGAGAGAGGUGAGUGGAACUGCGAGUGUAGAGGUGAAAUUCGUAGAUAUUCGCAAGAACACCAGUGGCGAAGGCGGCUCUCUGGGACGGUACUGACGCUGAGGAGCGAAAGCGUGGGGAGCGAACAGG
rnacentral:rRNA from 1 species